CCAGAGGUAUCUGUAAAUCUGGGUGUGUGAAACACAUUAGAAUGAAUACUUAUGAUUCAGUGGUUAUGUAGGUCUUGCCUAAUUUUGUAAUUUCAUACAAUAAAUACUUGAUUUUGCAAGCUAUUUUUACAUCAUAGUCUCAAAAAUAAUGGACAAGCAUGAGAUAUAAUUUGUAAAUUAAGUACAUAAAAAUUUAAAAAAGAGAAAAUUAUUGAUGUUCACCCUUUCCAAUGAAAUCUGCCUGUACCAUGGUAGAGGCUCGCACUUCUAUUGUACCACUGGUGUUGGUGUUGAAGCCCAAGCGGCUCACUCUUCCCACCUGAGGAAUGAUAGCCACUGUAUUUCCUCCUUAUCUACAAUACGAUUACUGUUUUGCAGUGAAAGCUGGACGGCCUCAAGCAGGCCAAUGAAAACAUGAAAAAUACACAGGACUUUGCAUAGUUGAGUUGUCAAAGCUCAAGCUAUAAUCCAAAGUUACCUGAGAGCUGGCCUGAGCCCCAACAGCAAGGUAGGAAGGAUCACUCAUCAGCUGACAGCCUCCCAGAAAAAACCUGCGCAUCUUGGCCAGUGGGGACACUUGUGCUGGCCUCCAGGUGCCAACUUGGUACAAUCCAUCCUUUACCUGGUGCUUGUCAUGUGGAACUGUGGAAAGAGGCUACCAUGAUGCAAACUAUCAGGAGUGACAGAUUAUGAAAAAAAGCUGAGUAAAAAUCUUGCUUCUUUACUACCUUUCCAGAUGUGAUUUACACUAUUUUUGUUCUUCUUUAGCAAGCACCUAAGAAUGCUUCCACAAUCAGACAAUAUUACCCACCUGAGGCUGGAAGAGCAAAGGCAGCAUAUCCUUCAUCUCUGUCAUGCCCAAACCAGUCAAGGGAAAAAGCUGCCAGUAACAACAGAGGCCAACCCUUCCCUGCCACAAAAACGAAGUUUAUGUAUGAUGCAAGUACGAGUAUAGUAAGUAAGAUGAUGAUGAUAAUGAUGACAAUAAUAAAAUGUAAUAACAAAG